GGGUAUUGUUUACGGGCGGCCGGAAUUACCCGACCUUAGGUUUAUAAAAAGAUAAAUAGAGCCACUUACCUCCUUGAUCCCUCUUCCCCCACAAAAAAGUUUUAGAUCCGAAAACCUUUUUUAAAACCCAGGCGUUGCUCCAUCAGACUUUCGUCCAUUGUGGAAGAUUCCCCUACUCCUACGGGAGGCAGCAGUAGGGAAUCUUCCACAAUGGACGAAAGUCUGAUGGAGCAACGCCGCGUGAGUGAAGAAGGUUUUCGGAUCGUAAAGCUCUGUUGUUGGUGAAGAAGGAUAGAGGCAGUAACUGGUCUUUAUUGACGGUAAUCAACCAGAAG
rnacentral:rRNA from 1 species